AGUGAACGCUGGCGGUAGGCCUAACACAUGCAAGUCGAACGGCAGCACAGUAAGAGCUUGCUCUUACGGGUGGCGAGUGGCGGACGGGUGAGGAAUACAUCGGAAUCUACUUUUUCGUGGGGGAUAACGUAGGGAAACUUACGCUAAUACCGCAUACGACCUACGGGUGAAAGCAGGGGAUCUUCGGACCUUGCGCGAUUGAAUGAGCCGAUGUCGGAUUAGCUAGUUGGCGGGGUAAAGGCCCACCAAGGCGACGAUCCGUAGCUGGUCUGAGAGGAUGAUCAGCCACGCUGGAACUGAGACACGGUCCAGACUCCUACGGGAGGCAGCAGUGGGGAAUAUUGGACAAUGGGCGCAAGCCUGAUCCAGCCAUACCGCGUGGGUGAAGAAGGCCUUCGGGUUGUAAAGCCCUUUUGUUGGGAACGAAAAGCAGCAGGUUAAUACCCCGCUGUUCUGACGGUACCCAAAGAAUAAGCACCGGCUAACUUCGUG
rnacentral:rRNA from 1 species